AAGAUGAACUUGAAGAAGAGGCUGAAGUCGAAGCUAAAGAUGGAGAAGCUGAAGUUGAAGCUAAAGACGAAGAAGCUGAAGCUAAAGAAGAAGAAGAAAGUAAAAGGAGAAAGGAUUUGUGUUUGAGUUUGAGAUGCUUCCAAACAGCGAGGUGGUGAAGAAGGAACUAUUGUCCAUUGCAAAUUUCCUCAAAUUCACGCCGGUUUGGCAGAAGAAGGUGAAGAAGCAGAGACUUGUUUAAAGAGCAUUGUCGAAUUACAUACCAAGAAAGUUUGACGGUUGUACUCAUUUUAUCCCUGGUGUUAUUGAAUGACAGUUUGGAUUGAUUUUGUUGUGUUUUAUCGAACAAGAUCCUAUGUGUUUGUAGUUAUGUCUUGGUCUUCCGUCUGACUAUUAGAUUAUUGUCACUUACAUUUUGUGAUGGAUUCAUGGUUUUCA